AACAGGGAUUGCCCUAGUAACGGCGAGUGAAGCGGCAACAGCUCAAAUUUGAAAUCUGGCCUCCUCGAGGCCCGAGUUGUAAUUUGGAGAGGAUGCUUCGGCGUUGGCCCCAGUCUAAGUCCCUUGGAACAGGGCGUCACAGAGGGUGAGAAUCCCGUACGUGGCUGGUGGCCCUCGCCAUGUGAAGCUCCUUCAACGAGUCGAGUUGUUUGGGAAUGCAGCUCUAAAUGGGAGGUAAAUUUCUUCUAAAGCUAAAUACCGGCCAGAGACCGAUAGCGCACAAGUAGAGUGAUCGAAAGAUGAAAAGCACUUUGGAAAGAGAGUCAAAAAGUACGUGAAAUUGUUGAAAGGGAAGCGCUCGCAACCAGACCCGCCCGCGGUCGCUCAUCCAGGCCCCGCCUGGUGCACUCUUCCGCGGUCGGGCCAGCAUCGGUUUGGGCGGUCGGACAAAGGCGGCGGGAAUGUGGCUCCCCUCGGGGAGUGUUAUAGCCCGCCGCGCAAUGCGGCCAGCCCGGACCGAGGUCCGCGCUCCGGCUAGGAUGCUGGCUUAAUGGUUGUGAGCGGCCCGUCUUGAAACACGGACCAAGGAGUGUAACAUCUGUGCGAGUGUUUGGGUGUCAAGCCCGGGCGCGCAAUGAAAGUGAACGGAGGCGGGAACCCUCCGGGGCGCACCGUCGACCGAUCCUGAUGUCUUCGGAUGGAUUUGAGUAAGAGCACAGCUGUUGCGACCCGAAAGAUGGUGAUCUAUGCCUGAAUAGGGUGAAGCCAGAGGAAACUCUGGUGGAGGCUCGCAGCGGUUCUGACGUGCAAAUCGAUCGUCAAAUUUGGGCAUAGGGGCGAAAGACAAU
rnacentral:rRNA from 1 species